rnacentral:rRNA from 1 species
AAUCAACGCUGGCGGCGUGCCUCAGACAUGCAAGUCGAACGCGAAAGUUCCCUUCGGGGGAUGAGUAGAGUGGCGCACGGGUGAGUAACACGUAGGUAAUCUACCUUUGGAUGGGGAAUAACAACCGGAAACGGUUGCUAAUACCGCAUAAUGCAGCGGCACCUAAUGGUGACAGUUGUUAAAGCGGGGGAUCGAAAGACCUCGCGUCUGAAGAGGAGCCUGCGGCGGANAGCUAGUUGGUAAGGUAACGGCUUACCAAGGCGACGAUCCGUAGCCGGCCUGAGAGGGCGGUCGGCCACACUGACACUGACAUACGGGUCAGACUCCUACGGGAGGCAGCA